CUCCUCCAAUUUUCUCCUCCUCUAGAACCUUCAUCCCCUCUCUCUAACCUAUCAUUCUUGCCUUGACUCAGGAAGAAAACUCAAAGAUUUCUCCUUCAUCUCUUGAGAAUGAGCUUUCCUUAGGGUUUUUGAGAAGUUUUGAGGAGGUUAGACUUCAACCAAGGGGAAAGAGCCGGUGGAGAAGUAACACCGGGGUGUCUUAGCUCGCCAAGUUUGAAACAAGUUAGCCUUACGGUAAUCAAGGGUCGAGGCAGUGUUGGACCUCCCUUGGGUUGUCGUGGCGGUAUGUCAUGUGUGGGACCCGUGGAACGGGACGUGACAAGUGUAGUAAAAAAAACACAUGAUACAGAGUUGGUUGAAAAUAGUACUUCUUUGGUGCCAGAUCUGAAUGUAAAAAAAGAGUUAGACUCUAUUUUUGUUUAUUUAUUUAUGCAAGUUGUUAUUAAGUGUGUGGCCUUUAUUUCUCUAUGUCAAACUUACCAUUAUGUCCUCUAUAGACUAUAAAUGAUUAAUGAG